rnacentral:rRNA from 1 species
GACGAACGCUGGCGGCGUGCUUAACACAUGCAAGUCGAACGGAAUUACGCUUAACACCGAUUCUUUUAUAGAAGGUGCAAUGCGAAGACGCGAUGCGGUGAAUGAACGAAGUGAAUUCACCACGCAUUAAAAAAGUGCAAACACCAAGAGGAAUGGGUGUUGAGCGUAAUUUAGUGGCGAACGGGUGAGUAACGCGUAGACAACCUACCUUUUAGAUGGGGACAACAUCGCGAAAGCGGUGCUAAUACCGAAUGUUGAUAAUGAAAUGCAUGUUUCGUUAUUUAAAGAUGGCCUCUAUAUAUAAGCUAUCGCUAAAAGAUGGGUCUGCGUCUGAUUAGCUAGUUGGUGAGAUAACAGCCCACCAAGGCAACGAUCAGUAGCCGGUCUGAGAGGAUGAACGGCCACAUUGGGACUGAGACACGGCCCAAACUCCUACGGGAGGCAGCAGUGGGGAAUCUUCCGCAAUGGACGAAAGUCUGACGGAGCAACGCCGCGUGAGUGAAGAAGGUUUUAGGAUCGUAAAGCUCUGUUGUUUAGGACGAAUGUGCCUUAUGCGAAUAGUAUGAGGUAAUGACGGUACUAAACGAGAAAGCCACGGCUAACUACGUGCCAGCAGCCGCGGUAAUACGUAGGUGGCAAGCGUUGUCCGGAAUUAUUGGGCGUAAAGGGAGCGCAGGUGGGAAAAUAAGUCUGUUUUAAAAGUGCGGGGCUCAACCCCGUGAUGGAAUGGAAACUGUUUUUCUUGAGUGCAGGAGAGGAAAGUGGAAUUCCUAGUGUAGCGGUGAAAUGCGUAGAUAUUAGGAGGAACACCAGUGGCGAAGGCGACUUUCUGGACUGUAACUGACACUGAGGCUCGAAAGCCAGGGUAGCGAACGGGAUUAGAUACCCCGGUAGUCCUGGCCGUAAACGAUGGGUACUAGGUGUAGGAGGUAUCGACCCCUUCUGUGCCGGAGUUAACGCAAUAAGUACCC